UCGCGCCGAGUUCAGCCAUUUUACAUCUCCAUCCUGCGGCGAGCCUCAGAGCACUUCCUCAGGGAAAUUAGCGUUAAAUUAAACUUAAAACAACUUUCUAGUUCACCUUUCUGGGAGAGGUGUUUGCUUUUACUGCUUUUGAACGCAGUUCAUUAGAUUUCUGCUGUUUUUUUUCUGCAGUAACAUAGCUAUGCUAGCUAAGGAGCUAACUCUUUAGCUUCAUCAGUGGAGUGAUAAUAAUUAGCUCUCGCUAACAUGAUUUUUCAACCAUAAAACAUAAAAAGACUCGUAAUAUUUGAAGGAUUUUCUUAGUUUUUUAGUUUAAUGGCAUUUGAAGCCCCGUUAUUCUCGGUGUUUGGUCGUGGGGAAGGCCGCCUGCAGGCGCUGAAUGUGAAUCUUUGUUGGCUUUUAAACGACUCAUUUAACAGAGCGCGCGCGGAGCCAUUUUAGCGCGCGUGCUCGGUAACAGCGCGCGUGAGAAAAAAAAAAAGAAUUCAAGACAAUAACCACUGCUGAACUGAAAACAGCUUAAUUAGGACAGG